AUGUUUGGUUCCAUAAAUGAGUGAACGCUGCGUUUACUGUUAUUAGGGCUUCAAUGUUUAUCCUCUUCCAGAGCUCAACCUCACUGUCUCCGCCUCAAAGCUAACGAUUCUCCUCCCAUCGCUUAACCUUUCAUACCGUUCAACGCAUUCCUUUUAAUUCACCAAUAAUUGCUAUUCAUAUGAAACUCAGACCUUUCCGUUUCUUUCAUGUCAAUCUCUAUUAUAUAAGAGAGGGUUGAGAGCAGGAUGGAUAUUCAUCUCCACUCCGCUAGCUCCGUAACCAACCUCUAAGCAUCUCUUCCGCACCUCUUCCGGCGUCCCAGAAUCCACCGCUCUGCUUCGGCCGGUGAGACCACAAACGAUCCGUGGAGGAUUACACCACUUCUCUUCAGAGAUGGCUCUCCGAUUCAGGCCUUUCCCCAGAAAAUAGCUAUCGAUAUAGUCGAAAUCGGAGAGAGUGGCGUCGCGUCUCAGAACCUAAGAAAAAAAGAGAAGCUUCUUUUAGUUCCUCCUUCUCACGUCAUCAGUGCUGAUUCCGUGUGGACCAGUGGUGAUGCUGGUGAAGUGAUGAAACAUUACAAUGAUGACAAACAGCGGUAGUCUAAUAUCUCCGGCGAUGAUUCUUUUGCUCGCCUCUACAGAGCUUUUGAGACCCAAAUCGAGACAGCUCUCGAGAAAGCUGAGAUUGUUACCAAGGAGAAGAACAGAGCUUCUGCUAUUGCAAUGAACGCUGAGAUCCGUCGCACCAAGGCUCGAUUGUCCGAGGAAGUCCCCAAGUUGCAGAGACUUGCUAUCAAGCGGUUAAAGAGCCUCACAACGGAAGAGCUUGCUGCGAGAAAAGGUUUGGUACUUGCGCUUCCGGCGAGGAUUGAAUCUAUACCUGAUGGGACAGCGGGUGGUCCUAAAAGCACUACCAGCUACUUUUGCAUCAAUUGAUAACGAUGAUGCUGCUGUUGAUGAUGAGGAAAAACCUUAACUUUACAUUUUACAAUGAAACAUAUCUCUUAUGCUUUCAAAUGGUACUUCCUUGGUGAACAUCCCCACCUUCGUUACCAACCAAAAGAAUAAUAACAAUUUUUUUUUUGUCCA